UCAAGCAAGAAAGAGCACAAGGAGAAUGCCUUGGCACUGGGAGCCGAUGAAAGACGUGGUAAGCUGCGAAAAGCUUCGGGGAGGCGCAAACAGCCAUCGAUCCGGAGAUAUCUGAAUGGGGAAACCUACUUGAGCAAACCUCAAGUAUCCAUACGUGAAUCCAUAGCGUAUGGAAGGGAACGCUGUGAACUGAAACAUCUAAGUAGCAGUAGGAGGAGAAAGAAAACUCGAUUUCCUAAGUAGCGGCGAGCGAACGGGAAAGAGGCCAAACCGAAGGACCUGGUUCUUCGGGGUUGCGGACUGCAAUUAGCAUUGCUGAGAGAUAGACGAAUGGUUUUGGGAAAGCCAGCCGUAGACGGUGAAAGCCCGGUAGACGAAAUCUUGAAGCAGCGAGCAGGAUCCAGAGUACCACGAGACACGAGAAACCUUGUGGGAAGCCGGGGGGACCACCCCCCAAGCCUAAAUACUCCCUAGUGACCGAUAGUGAAGCAGUACUGUGAAGGAAAGGUGAAAAGGACCCCGGGAGGGGAGUGAAAGAGAACCUGAAACCUUGUGCUUACAAACAGUCAAAGGCCUACGGUCUGAUGGCGUACUUUUUGUAGAACGGUCCGGCGAGUUACUAAUGCCAGCGAGGUUAAGAUGUCAGAAGCAUCGGAGCCGAAGGGAAACCAAGUCUGAAUAGGGCGUAGAGUUGGUAUUAGUAGACCCGAAACCGGGUGACCUAUCCAUGUCCAGGUUGAAGGAACCGUAAAAGGUUUUGGAGGACCGAACACACAUGUGUUGAAAAACGUGGUGAUGAGGUGUGGAUAGCGGAGAAAUUCCAAUCGAACUCGGAGAUAGCUGGUUCUCCUCGAAAUAGCUUUAGGGCUAGCCUCGAGAGGAGUCUAACGGAGGUAAAGCACUGAACUGACGCGGGGCCCAAAAAGGUUACCAACUCAUAUCAAACUAAGAAUGCCGUCAAGAUACCCUCGGGAGUCAGUCUGCGUGAGAUAAGUCGCGUGGACAAAAGGGAAAGAGCCCAGACCGACAGCUAAGGUCCCAAAGUACGUGUUAAGUGGAAAAGGAUGUGGGAUUUCAUAGACAACUAGGAUGUUGGCUUAGAAGCAGCCAUACAUUUAAAGAGUGCGUAAUAGCUCACUAGUCGAGAAAACCUGCGCCGAAAAUGUAACGGGGCUAAAACACGACACCGAAGCUACGGAUUCCUUACAAAGUAAGGAGUGGUAGAGGAGCAUCCUGCAAGGACGAAGCCAAAGUGAGAGCGAUGGUGGACGAAACAGGAGAGAGAAUGCCGGAAUGAGUAGCGAGAUACAUGUGAGAAACAUGUAGGCCGAAUAUCUAAGGAUUCCUGGGUAAAGCUAAUCUUCCCAGGGUUAGUCGGGGCCUAAGGCGAGGACGAAAGUCGUAGUCGAUGGAUAACAGGUUGAUAUUCCUGUACUACACAUAAUCAGAACUGUGGGGACGCAGGAGGAUAGGGAAACCGGGGAAUGGAAAGACCCGGUCAAGCGUAAAGCUGUGGGAGAUAGGCAAAUCCGUCUCCUGUAAGUGAAACGUGAUGAGGACUGAAAAAAAGUAAGGAAGUUUCCGAAUCCACACUGCCGAGAAAAGCCGCUAUUGCGUUAUGUGUACCCGUACCGUAAACCGACACAGGUAGAUGAGGAGAAAAUCCACAGGCCGACGGGAGAAGUGUUGUUAAGGAACUCGGCAAAAUGACCCCGUAACUUCGGGAUAAGGGGAGCCUCGCAAGAGGCCGCAGAAAAGAGGCACAAGCAACUGUUUAGCAAAAACAUAGGUCUAUGCGAAACCGUAAGGUGAAGUAUAUGGGCUGACGCCUGCCCGGUGCUGGAAGGUUAAAAGGAGAGGUUAGCGCAAGCGAAGCUUUGAAUUCAAGCCCCAGUAAACGGCGGCCGUAACUAUAACGGUCCUAAGGUAGCGAAAUUCCUUGUCAGGUAAGUUCUGACCCGC
rnacentral:rRNA from 1 species